AGAGCUUGUAAUAAAAGAUUUGUUCAAAUGUUCUUGCCAUAUCUAAUGUUUUGAAUGGCAAUGAUUAAUUAUCAUAGUCUCUUGUAACGACGUCGGAUUCAGAAAACUCGAAUGAGUUUGAAUUACAAUUCAGGUAAGUACAUAAAUGUAAUAGGUAGGACCAAGUGAUUCAAGAAGCUUAACAAUAUAAAACUGGUUGUCAGAAUUAGAUUAUACUAUGCAGUUCGAUUAUGCUGUAGUUGAUGAUAUUAUUUGGGAGACAAAAAAGCUGUAUUUUUUUUAUAUAAAUUAAAUGAACUUUGUGUGCUGUUUGGCUUUACGAUAUUUAAAGUAUUGUUAUAAAUCCAUUCUUUAAAGAGGCAUAAUCUGUUUUAAACUCCUGUUCACUGAUUUCACUCAAAUUCUCAUAUUUGAUCAACAAAAACUAAAACGUGUAUCCAAAUUACAAAAAGUCUAAAAUAAACAAUAAACAAUGCAUGGACUUCAUAUUAUGUAUCGGCAUUUUGUGCGUUUUUUUUUGGUGUUUAUACGUCAUCAACCGCAAAGGUUGACUAGGAAAUAUAAAUAUGGCCACUACAACUGUUCUUCCGUCCGGCAGUUUAACCAUUGGCAAAGUCGAGCGUCUGUUUGACUGUGCGGGAUGUACAAGUACACAGUCACGUCCGGUCAGAACGUUAAAUCCGAUGCCUUGUUGAAGAAAAUGAGAACGGAAAUAGGCAAUGUGUUAAAGAGACAAAAACAUGACCUAAAAGCAUGUUAAGAACCCUUGCAUCAACUAUUUGAGUGGUCCGUUUGUGGCAGGUUGCGAGGCAAAAUAUCUGCCCACACUCAAUUUACCCUAAUUAUCCAGUGAUAGUCCAAAUUUAUCCUUUGAUAACCACCGAAGACUGCUGACGGUCAUAUGAUCCGUUAUAUAAUCAAAUAGAAAGCGACCACGUGCAAUUGGAUUUUUCUAGGUCUGUUUUAUUCAUAUUGUUGGUUAAAAAGUCUGUUUAUCAUCGUUUA
rnacentral:lncRNA from 1 species